CAGUCGCCACGGGAAUACAGAGGGUGCGAGCGUUAAUCGGAUUUACUGGGCGUAAAGCGUGCGUAGGCGGCUUCUUAAGUCGGAUGUGAAAUCCCUGAGCUUAACUUAGGAAUUGCAUUCGAUACUGGGAAGCUAGAGUAUGGGAGAGGAUGGUAGAAUUCCAGGUGUAGCGGUGAAAUGCGUAGAGAUCUGGAGGAAUACCGAUGGCGAAGGCAGCCAUCUGGCCUAAUACUGACGCUGAGGUACGAAAGCAUGGGGAGCAAACAGGAUUAGAUACCCCAGUAGUCCCUGUCCUUAUACA
rnacentral:rRNA from 1 species